rfam:Oryza glaberrima chromosome 1 Oglab01_0054_12, whole genome shotgun sequence.
AAAAAAAGACAUCCUGUAUUUUCGUGUCCAACGUUUGACCGUCUGUCUUAUAUGAAAUUUUUUUAUAAUUAGUAUUUUCAUUGUUGUUAGAUGAUAAAACAUGAUUAAUACUUUAUACGUGACUUGUCUUUUUAAUUUUUUUCAUAUUUUUUUCAAAUAAAAUGGACGAUCAAACGUUGGACACGGAAAUCUAGGGUUUGUCUUUUU